ACCCGGAAGCAGAGCCCUGCGGCGGAGGCGCCGCAGCCGAGCUACCGCCCCCUCGCCGCCUGGCCACUACUUAGAAAAUCCGGGCCGCGGCGGUGUCGGGUUGCACUGAUGGUCCCCGGCAAGCGGCGGCGGCAGAGGCGGCGGCAGGAUGACCUCUCCCCGAGAGCGGGGUGCCGACCUGGCCCGUUUCUACACUGUCACCGAGCCCCAGCGACACCCGAGGGGCUACACGGUGUAUAAGGUCACCGCCCGGGUUGUUUCACGAAGAAAUCCAGAGGAUGUCCAGGAGGGAGAAUCCUGAACCAACCUAUCCAUGAACAUACUCUCUGCCAUUUCCUUAAUCCUUUUUUGGGGAAAUCUCUUUUAUAAUAACAACUGUUGGUGAACCAUUCAUCAGAAAACUCUUAUAAUUGUAUGGAAGAGAUACAGUGACUUUAAGAAACUACACAAAGAACUAUGGCAAAUUCACAAAAACUUAUUCCGACGUUCAGAAUUGUUUCCUCCAUUUGCUAAAGGAAUAGUGUUUGGACGAUUUGAUGAAACUGUUAUUGAAGAGAGGAGACAGUGUGCUGAAGAUCUGCUACAGUUCUCUGCCAAUAUUCCUGCUCUUUAUAACAGUAAACAGCUUGAAGAUUUUUUCAAGGGUGGAAUAAUCAAUGAUGGUUCUGAAUUGAUUGGUCCCGUUGAAGCUUAUUCGGAUUCCCUCAUUGAUAGCUUUCCUGAAUGUACUACAGAAGGCUUCUCCAGCGACAGUGAUCUAAUAUCUCUUACUGUUGAUGUGGAUUCUCUUGCUGAGUUGGAUGAUGGAAUGGCUUCCAAUCAAAAUUCUCCCAUUAGAACUUUUGGUCUCAGUCUUUCUUCGGAUUCUUCAGCACUAGGGGCUGUUGCUUCUGACAGUGAACAGAGUAAAACAGAAGAAGAACGGGAAAGUCGUGGCCUCUUUCCUGGCAGUUUAAAAUCCAAGCUUGGCAAGAGAGAUUAUUUGGAGAAAGCAGGAGAAUUAAUAAAGCUGGCUUUAAAAAAGGAAGAAGAAGAUGACUAUGAAGCUGCUUCUGAUUUUUAUAGGAAGGGAGUUGAUUUACUCCUAGAAGGUGUUCAAGGAGAGUCAAGCCCUACUCGUCGAGAAGCUGUGAAGAGAAGAACCGCAGAAUAUCUCAUGCGAGCAGAGAGUCUCUCUAGCCUUUAUGUGAAACCUCAACUUGAUGAUGUAUCUCAGCCUCCAGGAUCACUAAGUUCAAGGCCCCCUUGGAACCUAAGGAGCCCUGCCGAGGAGCUGAAGGCCUUCAGAGUCCUUGGGGUGAUUGACAAGGUUUUACUUGUAAUGGACACAAGGACAGAACAGACAUUUAUUCUAAAAGGUCUAAGGAAAAGCAGUGAAUACAGCAGGAACAGAAAGACCAUCAUCCCCCGCUGUGUGCCCAACAUGGUGUGUCUGCACAAGUACAUCAUUUCUGAGGAGUCGGUAUUUCUUGUGCUGCAGCAUGUGGAAGGUGGCAAACUCUGGUCAUAUAUCAGUAAGUUUCUAAACAGAAGUCCUGAAGAAAGCUUUGACAUCGAAGCAGUGAAAACAUCUUCACUUGCUAAAGUUCAACUGCAACAGCCAACAUCUAGUCCUCAGGACAGCAGCAGCUUUGAAUCCAGAGAAAGUGAUGGUGGAGCCAUGCUUAAAAUUCUGCCUUUGAAGACUAGUCUUACUCCAAGCUCUCAAGAUGAUAGCAACCAAGAUGAUGAUGGGCAAGACAGCUCUCCGAAAUGGCCAGAUUCUGGCUCAAGUUCAGAAGAAGAAUGUACUACUAGUUAUUUAACAUUAUGCAAUGAAUAUGGGCAAGAAAAGAUUGAACCAGGGUCUUUGAAUGAGGAGCUUUUCAUAAAGACUGAAAGGAAUGAUGUUGAUACCAAAGCUAUAGAAAACUUCCCAGCACACCUUGCUGCUGACAGUGACAGCCCCAGCGCACAGCUGACAGCCCACGAGCUGAAGUUCUUUCCUGGAGUUGAUGGCCUGGAAGCAGUUAGUUCUCCAAGAACAUCAGAUUCCCUCAGUAGAUCUAAAAACAGCCCCAUGGAAUUCUUUAGAAUAGAUAGUAAGGAUAGCACUAGUGAACUCUUAGGACUUGAUUUUGGAGAAAAGUUGUAUAGUCUAAAGUCAGAGCCUUUGAAACCAUUCUUCACUCUUUCUGAUGGAGACAGCACUUCCAGAAGUUUUAGUACUAGUGAAAGCAAGGUAGAGUUUAUAGCUCAUGACACCAUUAGCAGGGGCUCAGAUGACUCAGUCCCGGUUAUUUCUUUUAAAGAUGCUGCUUUUGAUGAUGUCAGUGGUACUGAUGAAGGAAGGCCUGAUCUUCUUGUAAAUCUGCCUGGUGAAUUGGAGCCAAUGAAAGAUGGUGCAGCAAUGGGACCUACUAAGUUCACACAGACUAAUAUAGGCAUAAUAGAAAGUAAACUGUUGGAAACCCCUGAUGUUUUAUGCCUCAGACUUAGUACUGAACAGUGCCAAGCACGUGAAGAAAAAGGCACAGAGGAACUGAGUGAUCCCUGUGGGCCUAAAUCCCGUGGUAUCACAGAGAAACACUACGCACAGGGGGAUCCUGGGAUGUUAUGUGUAGCAGCUGAUGAUCACAGUAAUGCGAGAGACAUGUCUUUGUUACACAGCUCGGAUCCUAAGUUUCAAGGACUUAGCUUGGUUGCAUCGGCAGUAACAGCAAACAACGCAAAAGAAAGCUUAUUCCGUAUUUCUGACCCACUCUCAGGUGCUAAUGAAUAUAACGUAAAUACAGACACUUUAAAAACUGAAGAAGUAUUGCUGUUUACAGAUCAAACUGAUGAUUUGGCUAAAGAGGAGCCGGCUGUAUUUCAGAGAGACUCUGAGACUAAGGCAGAGAGUGGGUUAGCACUAGAAGGAGACAAGGAGAUACACCAGAUUUUUGAGGACCUUGAUAAAAAAUUAGCACUAAACUCCAGGUUUUACAUCCCAGAGGGCUGUAUUCAAAGAUGGGCAGCUGAAAUGGUGGUAGCCCUUGAUGCUUUACAUAGAGAGGGAAUUGUGUGCCGCGAUUUGAACCCAAACAACAUCUUAUUGAAUGAUAGAGGUCAGGAACUUUUGCAAAUGCAUUUCUUUUUAUUCGCUGUUGCUUCCAAUUAACUGAGUAGGCGUUUUAUCUUGUAAUUAGUAUCUUCAUUUCCUGUCUAGAGCUUCAUUAUCAGUGCAGCAAAUUCACCCCCAGUAAUAGCUUCUAGUACUUAAUGAUGCCAUUAUUCUUAAUGAUACUGUUUUUAGCUACAAAAGGAGUAAUUACAGUUCACUUCUGCAGAAAAUGGAAGAGAAAAAUGUUUUGAUUUCUCCUGUCGUUUUGUUUUUAGGACACAUUCAGCUAACGUAUUUUAGCAGGUGGAGUGAGGUUGAAGAUUCCUGUGACAGCGAUGCCAUAGAGAGAAUGUACUGUGCCCCAGAGGUUGGAGCAAUCACGGAAGAAACUGAAGCCUGUGAUUGGUGGAGUUUGGGUGCUGUCCUCUUUGAGCUUCUCACUGGCAAGACUCUGGUUGAGUGCCAUCCAGCAGGAAUAAAUACUCACACUACUUUGAACAUGCCAGAAUGUGUCUCUGAAGAGGCUCGCUCACUCAUUCAACAGCUCUUACAGUUCAACCCUGUGGAGCGUCUUGGUGCUGGAGUUGCUGGUGUUGAAGAUAUCAAAUCUCAUCCAUUUUUUACCCCUGUGGAUUGGGCAGAGCUAAUGAGAUGAACAUAAUGCAGGGUUCUCUGCACACGUUCUGAUCUCCUCUGUGACAGGCGUCUCCAACACAGAGGUAGCUCUGCCUUACACUCAGUUAUGGGGCACCAAGCAUUGGGAUGAAGAUCUUUAGAGGAAAUGGAGAAAGAAAAAGCCUGAGAGAGAACAAUUCCUUUACAGUUACUGUCUGGACAAGAUAUUGGCUACAUUUGCAAGGGGCUGUUAUGUACAAACCUUUAACUGAGGUGUGAUCUUUAUUUUAUCUGCACUUAGUGUUGCAGGUGAGUCGUAAACCCAACUAAAAGAGGAAUGCCCUUCAAGACCUUCCUCUGAUAUGAAGCUCCAAAGUGUAGAAUGAAGUGUUACUUGAAAGGAGGACCUUUACAUGGCAGCUGACAGUGCUUUCUGCUAACCAGGAUUGGUUUAAUAUGAUCAAAUUAAUAUUUGCUGAAUAAUAUACUAAAAGUGCUUCAUGAAUAAUGUCAUCUGUGGAGCUUAAAAAGUGAGGAAAAAAGAAAAUACACGUCAUGUCUGAUAGGAAAACUGAACCACAAUGCUAUAUAAUUAAUGUAUGUCGAAUAUGGUCCCAUAGUCAUUCUUUCGGAAGUCCACGUGAGAAGAAAACACUUCAUGUUGUCAACUGUGUACUUUGUUGGUUGAUACUGCUAACAGAAGGGUUCAUAUGAACACUCUCUCUUUCGCUCUCUCUCUCUUCAUCUUUAUUUUUUCACUUUCUACACCAUUUGUCUAUUCUCUCAUGUUCUGUUCUUCCUACCCCUAUUAAUACAUAUGCAACAAAAAAGGGAAGGGAGUAUUUAUUUCCCCAAAUUGUAUCAACUUAAUAAGAACUAAAGAAUCAUGUGAAAUAAACGUAGUAAAAAUUUAAAUCUCUCUUUCAUUUAAUUGCUUAAGAUUUUUUUUCUUUUUUUUCCAAAGACCUCUCUUCCUUUCAUUUUGGAAUGUUAACAAUUUCUGCUUCUUAUUAUGCUUGACUUCAUUUUAGUUUUAUGGCUUAGUAUCCUAAGAACCAAAGGAUCUCAUCUAAAUGGGAUUGAAUGGCAAUCCUAUUUUAUAAUGUAUUGACAGGAUUUCCAGAUUUGACCUCCAAAUCUACUUGACGUCGUGUAGAAAGAACAUGAGUAUUUAUACAUCUCCAAACAUUUGUAUUCGUUAUUUCCUUCUGUUGCUAAGAUAGCUCCUGUAGUCAUGCAUUGUUUACAACAAUUUACAAAAUUCUAAGUUAAUGUCUGUUCUUUAAACUUUAUCCAAAGAAGAAAGAAUAAGUCACCAUUUUCAAGUUAGGAGCCACAACAUAAUGAAAGUUUUCUGUAUGUUUUAAUUCUUUGUAUUUUUGAGAUCUGUGUGAGAGCCUAUCCCUACUCCAAGAGCAUCUGUACAGCUUCCAGCUGCCAUUGGCCAGGUCUGCCCAUCAAAUUAAAUGGAAGCAGAAAAUGCUUUAGUGACACAAAGGAAAUGUGCAAGCAUUUUUGCUUUUUCUAUUAUCCUACUCCCCCAUUUUCCUUUUUGGUCCCCUUAUAACCUGAAACCCAGCUGAAGUGCUGCAACAACAGUGGGAUGGGGAGCAGGUCAGCAGGAUCAUAGCUCAGUCAAGAUGACAUCACUCCCUGGAACUGGAUUUCAACUCACCAGCCCCCUGGCCUCAUAACAGGAACUUAUGCAGGUGAGACACAAGAAUGACUUCCUGUGUAGGACUAGUAGGAAAUCUGUAAGUAGUUAGAACUGGCCAUUACAGAGCUUCCUUCCAGAAGUGCCCUAUGACAUGAAAGUAGGACUUCACGGCUAAGGUGAAGCUCCCAGCCCUACCACAUGAUUUGGGUCCCUUGGAUUCAAAGGACAGUGUUAACAGAUGGUUGCUGUGUUAGUGUGUUGACAGAAUUCCACUGCUUCAGUUCCUCUCUCUCUCUCUCUCUCUCUCUCUCUCUCCGUGUUUGGAAUUGUGCUUAAUGUAAAUACAUCAUUCAUAAUCAUGGUAGACAUGAAUUACAUUAG